UUGGUGGCAGUGACACUGGAAAAUUGGAAGCUCAGGAGACAACUCGAAACUGGUUUUACAAAGUGGCUUCUAUCAGAGAACUCCUGCCAAGGCUUUAUCUGAAGCUGCCCUCUUGCCUUGUUACUCCCUUAUCAAUGUUCAAGAAGGUGAACAGGCUCUGUCAAGAUUAUCACGAAUGAUCCGAGGAAUUGGUGAUCCUCUGAUGGCUGCUUAUGCACGGAUGUAUGUGUGUCGCAUGGGCUUUGUGAUCGCACCCACACUUACUCAACACAUUUCUGAAAGCAUAGAAGAUUUUCUGCAUGCUCUGAAACAGGGUCUAUGGCCAGAAGGUGAAGCAGACAUGAACAUGGGCGAGGAUAAGGAUUCUUUGGCAGCUCGAGUUUUCUCCCUCCACUAGAGUGGAUGAUGCAGUGUUUGGCUAGCUGUGCCC